rnacentral:rRNA from 1 species
GCAAGAUACCACGGGCGCACGGCGGAUGCCUUGGCACAGGGAGCCGAUGAAGGACGCGGCAAGCUGCGAUAAUCCCCGGCGAGGAGCACACAUCCUUCGACCCGGGGGUCUCCGAAUGGGCGAACCCAUCCGUAGCAGUACGGAUAUCCCGAUCCUGAACACAUAGGGGCCGGGAGGACAACCCGGGGAACUGAAACAUCUAAGUACCCGGAGGAGAGGAAAUCAAUCUCGAGACUCCCCGAGUAGCGGCGAGCGAAAGGGGACCGAUGGCCAAACCGUCGAGCGGGCAUACCCGGCAGGGGUUCCGCCGACGGGGUUGCAGGGCCGCGCAUCCGGGGGCUGCCGCCCCCGGGCGCAGGUCCGGCUGGGGAGCGGAACGGCAUGGGAGGGCCGGCCGCAGCGGGUGACAGCCCCGUACGCGAACCCAGACCGGACGGCGCGGCGCGGUCCCUGAGUAGGGCCGGGCACGUGAAACCCGGUCCGAACCUGGGUGGACCACCAUCCAAGCCUGAGUACUACCCUGUGACCGAUAGCGCACCAGUACCGUGAGGGAAAGGUGAAAAGCACCCCGGGAGGGGAGUGAAAUAGUACCUGAAACCGUGCGCCCACGAGCAGUCGGAGCACCUUUACGGUGUGACGGCGUGCCUUUUGUAGAAUGAGCCAGCGAGUCGCUGGCGCGGGGCGAGGUUAACCGAAAGGGAGCCGGAGCGAAAGCGAGCCUUAACAGGGCGACUUGAGUCCCGCGCCGCGGACGCGAAGCCGGGUGAGCUAUCCGUGGGCAGGCUGAAGCGGGGGUAAGACCCCGUGGAGGGCCGAACGCACGUCGGUUGAAAACGGCGGCGAUGACCUGCGGAUAGGGGUGAAAGGCCAAUCAAACCCGGAGAUAUCUCGUUCUCCCCGAAAUAGCUUUAGGGCUAGCGUCGCGCGUUCACCGCCGGAGGUAGAGCACCGGAUGGACGAGGGGGCUUCGCCGCCUACCGAAUCCAACCGAACUCCGAAUGCCGGCGGCCCAGAGCGCGGCAGUCAGAGCAUGUGGGCUAAGCUGUGUGCUCGAGAGGGAAACAGCCCGGACCGCCCGCUAAGGUCCCCAAGUUCCAGCCGAGUGGCAAAGGAUGUGCGUCCGCCCAGACAACCAGGAUGUUGGCUUAGAAGCAGCCAUCCAUUCAAAGAGUGCGUAACAGCUCACUGGUCGAGUGGACAUGCGCCGACAAUACACGGGGCUAAGCUGGACACCGAAGCGGCGGGAUUUUGAUUUUCAGAAUCGGUAGGGGAGCUUCCCAUGGGCGGGGAAGCCGCCGGGCGACCGGCGGUGGAGCGCAUGGGAGUGAGAAUGCUGGCAUGAGUAGCGAGAGACGAGAGAGUAACUCGUCCGCCGUGAACCCGAGGUUUCCUGGGCAAGGCUAAUCCUCCCAGGGUCAGUCGGGGGCUAAGGCGAGGCCGGGAGGCGUAGCCGACGCGCAGCAGGCAGACAUUCCUGCACCGCGCACGCGGCGCUACGACCGACGGGGCGACGGAUGGGGGUGGCUCGGCGGGGUUCUGGACGUCCCCGUGAUGGAGCGCGGCCCGCGGACCAGGGAAAUCCGGUCCGCACGAGGGCGAGGCUCCGGACGAAGCGAUCAAGCGAAGCGAGUGAGCCCGAGGUCCCUAGAAAAACCCCUAGGCAGGCGCGUGCGCGCCCGUACCGCAAACCGACACAGGUGGGUGGGUAGAACAUACCGAGGCGAUCGGGUCAACCAUGGUCAAGGAACUCGGCACAAUGGCCCCGUAACUUCGGGAGAAGGGGUGCCCGCGCGUACGUGAACGGACUUGCUCCGGGAGCGGAGGCGGGCCGCAGUGGAGAGGCCCAAGCGACUGUUUACCAAAAACACAGGACUCUGCAGAAGCCGCAAGGCGACGUAUAGGGUCUGACGCCUGCCCGGUGCCGGAAGGUCACGCGGAGGAGUUAGCCGCAAGGCGAAGCCCCGAAGCCAAGCCCCGGUAAACGGCGGCCGUAACUAUAACGGUCCUAAGGUAGCGAAAUUCCUUGUCGGGUAAGUUCCGACCUGC